CAGUACGUUUGCGUCCUGUUUGGCUGUUUUGAAGUUAAGAGAAGCAUCUCAUCUGAAUCUGACGUCUAUCAUGGAUAUUUAACUGCAGUUCUGUGAGUAUCCCAACUUAACCCUGAAGAUGAACUGCAAACUGUAAGUCAUUAAUUUCUCAUUACUCUUGGGCACAUUGAUGUAUUUUGGCUUCCUGGUGAGUUAACCCAUUACCUAUGGUUGAUCUGAGUAGUAAGGUGUUUUAUUGGUUCAUGGGUUACUUAGGUGUUUGGUUUAUGUUGGUGUUAAUGAUUUGUUAAAAUGGUUACAGGCUCCAAGUUAUUGUUGUAAGCUGGAGUAAUGGGUUGGGUUCUGAUAUCUUCAGUCUUCUUUCAUGCUACUCUCCUGAGCUCAACAUCUUGAGGUGCAUGAGGUGCAUACUGGGAUACAGAGCUGGCUGAAUUCUACAGGUCUGUAGACACGCCCCCUCAGGGGAAACCGAGUGUUUGAGAAACUGUUGUGACGUCAGUUACAUAAACUAGAAUGUUCUGAAAGAUGGAGACAGGGAUUCAGAAGGAGAAAAACCAGGGGGAGAUGAGGGGGCUCCUCAUCUCAACGACUAAAACACAACUUCAGUCUGACACAGAGAACCAUGGAACACAUUCAACAGUCCCCUCCAUGCAUCGUGACUCCUCAGGAACAGUUUCAUUUCCAAGAAGGUCUUAUUUGGGGCCAUCCCCAGAUGGAUCCUGCUCCUCAAGAGCCAUCCCCCUCCAAUGGGUGGUCUUCUGAACAGAUGACCUCCUUCCUGUUCUCAGGCUGAUUAAAGCUGCACCGUUUGCAUCUGUGAAGGCCCCCAUUCAAGAAACCACUGGACUACAAAGACAUGACUUCAGAGACGUUGAAUCAACCUGGGACACAUUUUGGAGACGCCAAGCAUAAUCCAUCACCAACGUGGGACGCCACUGAAGAAUGUUGUUCAUAAUUUACUUCUCUGGAGACAUUGGUUGUUCUGUUCUGGUUGCCCUGGCAGGAGAGCUUGGGGUGGAUGAUGGAAUGUUAUUUGGCAUGAGGUUUUUACCCUGCAUGAUUUUUUUUUGGCAUUUUAUGGCUCAGUGGUGUGUGUGUGUGUGUGUGUGUGUGUGUCAUGAGAUGGAUGAUUUUUGAGCAUUGCUAGGGUUCUACUGUGUCUCCCACUCACACCUGGAAUGGGGUUCUACAUGCCUGUCCUGGGUUCUGUGUGUGUGUGUGUGUGUGUGUGUGUGUGUGUGUGUGUGUGUGUGUGUGUGUGUGUGUGUGUGUGUGUCCGGCUUGCUUUGACAGUGAUAAUGUUCAUACAGGAGUCUGUGUCAUUGGCUUGGGAUAUUGGAAUGGUCAAAUAAAUCAUACCUGAUGGACGGCCACACGUUUACUGAAGGGCCUCCAGAGCGACACUGCGGAGCGAUAUCCAACACACUGGAAAGAAAGGACAGUAUCCAACUCGAGUGUAAAGGAUGCAAGCGGCAUGUUCAGAUCAGUCUCUUCAAACUAGGACUACACCAAACAGGAUCAAUGGCGGAUGGACACCAAAAGGAAUUCCACAAGGAGAGUCUGACAUUGGAAAUGGACCUAAAUGGAUAUUCAAGAUGACCUUCAGACCUGUAAUGAGACGGCUCUUCCUACCUGGCUGGAUUGAUGGAGAGCCCUGUGGAUCUUGUCUUGCUCUCAGUUGCACGUCUUCUCAGGCUGAACUGUAUUUUUUUCGGACAGGACUAGAUGAACGAUUUGUUCCCUUAAAUCAGAACCAAUCUGGGAACUCCAACUAGUGCGCUCUUCGAGCUGAAGUUGUGCUUUUUCAGCUGAGGAGGUAAGGAAACCUUCACUGGGGCUUCAAGGUGUUAAGAGGAGAAUGUUUCAAAGUGUUCCAUGGUACUCUGAUGAGGACCGUUGUUGUGUUCCACUGGCUGAGAGGAAGAACCCUCACAUCUUCCUCUUGGCCUUUCUCCUCCGAGAAUCCUGGCGCCAUCUUGAAGGAUAUUCCAGCUCAUGUAACUGAUGUCACGACAGAUUCUCAAACACUUGGUUUUUCCUGAGGGGCGUGUCUAUAGAACUGAAGACUUCAGACAGCACUGUAUCCCAGCAUGCAUCUCUGCUCACUCAGACCACACCUCCAUGAUUAGGAUGCAACACUAGUGAUGGAGAUGUAGAGUUUUAUAAGUAACAAGGGAGCAGACAAAGGUGAUUAGAACACAAUGGCAUUUCAAGUCUGUAAAUCUUUAAACCAUGAAGAUGGUUGUAAAGUUCAAGAAUUGGGCUUUUUAUUAUGGGCAGUCCUUUCACUCGAAUGCCCUCUUCUCACUGGACCUGUACAUGUGUUGGCUGGCUGGCAUGAUUUGCUGUUGGUGAUGGGGCGAUCAAGGUGACGUUGCAGGGAUAUGGUCGGCUCUCUGUGAGCUCAACGUUUAGAUUUGCUCUGUAUGGUUUUUACCCUGAAUAAUCUAGAUGGUUGUAAAAUGUAGACACGGUUCUGUAUUGAAUGAUUCCAGGAUUUUAGGUUUUAAGUUGUUGUGGGACGUACAUGGUAGUUUGGUUCUUCGUACGGUUUUGAGUGAUAACUUGUACACACUGGGUGCAUAAUAAUGUAAAGGUACACUGAAAAGUAGUAGUAUUGACCAACAGCAACAAACAGAUCUCCUCAAGGUAAGUCUGUUGGCUGUGUUUUAAUGAAGACCAUCGCUAGACUUCAGGAUCUUCCUCCGUUCAGCUCAAGGUGAGGCGCUGGUUCUGUUUUUUCUUUGGUUGGUUCCGGCCGGAAUGUUCAGAUUCCUGUCGGACGGUUCGUGCUUCCCGCCGUGGAAGGUUCUGAUUGCGGUCACUUGAUUUAGUCACAAUGGUUAGCAUAGAACUUUGUAGUCUUGACAACCAAGAAACCACCUGGCAGUUAGUUGGACGGGAGUCCCCUGAGGGAAUCUGGCGGAACGUUGUGGAUUGUAUUUGCGUAACCUCGAGCCGUUAUUUUUCAGUCGUUUCCAUUUGGAAUUGUUCCCUCAUCUUAAACCACUUAAUUUUGAUUUUAAAUAAAUACUGACACAUACGUCGUACAAUAUGUUGAUAAUUUCCGAUGGUUGCGUCGUACUUUUAACCACGAUGACCGACGUGACGGGACUCUCGCUGCGUACAAGACGGCGUUCUUCUUGCGGGCCCAUUUUUGACAUCAGUGAAGGCUGAAAAUCAUUUCAAGGUGGAAGACAAUUUGACAUUGCUUCAAAGGAACCCAGCACCUGAAUAUGGUUGCGUAUAUUUGAUUUAAUAUCGUUACUGCUUAGUGUUCUUUGUUACUUCAGCUAUUGUACGUUCUAAAAAUCUGCUGUCAUUAAUUGCCACAGAAGUUAAACCCUACCCAAUGGAAUGAUGUUAAACAAUGAUUGUGGUGCAGUUACCAACUGAAUAAUAUGAAAGCUAAAAUAAUGGCCGUCCUUCCCACAUGUUACAGUAGACGGUUAAAAAGGUAACAUGUAGUUUGUCCCAAGGUGUCUGCCUCCUCACCCAGAGCAAGACCUUCACCUCCUCACCCAGAGCCAGACCUCCACCUCCUGCCAGAAGUCCUCCAGAACAGCUGAAAGGUGAGGCUGAGAGGCUGGGGACCGGAGGCUUGUGGUGCCAGGAUGGACCGGAGACUGAGGCUGGAGACCAGGGGCCUGCAGCACCGGACCAGAGGGUGAUUUAAUGCUGAGACAACUGUUUGUAACCAGACCAGGAGUCCAUGUCUGGAGGAGCCGUGCUGAAGGAGUUGGAGGAGCCCUGCUGAAGGACCUGAUGGAGGAGCCGUGCUGAUGGAGGAGUCGUGCUGAAGGCCCUGCCUGGUGGAGGACGUGAGACCAGGACUCUGUCUGAGGAGAGCUGCUGGAGGAGCUGAGACGCUGGAAGACGACUAGGCAUCGACCAACAAGGAUUCCUCAACAUGUUUCUUGGGCAGAGGCGAGCUGGUAGGGGAGCCGUGAAUCUGGAGGAUGACCAUCACUCUACCAACAAGGAUUACGUUAUGGCCAGACUCGCGCUGUUUGUUCCAGACCAGGACUCUGGCUGAGGAGAGCUGAUGGAGGAGCCAAGACUCUGGAGGACGACAUCACUCUACCAACCAGGAUCCUCGUAAAUUUGCAUGAAAUAAAUGGAGUGGAUUAGUUUGUCCAGUACAAGUUACGGCAUACUACUGUGGUUGUUUACCAGACAAACUACAGCUGCUACUUUUUUAUGUGACAUUAGAGCCCAAUUACUCCUGUGUUUGUUACCUUGCAUUAGAGCCCAACUACUCCUGUGUUUGUUACCUUACAUUAGAGACAAACUACUACUGUGUUUCUUACCUUGCAUUAGAGACAAAUUACAUUUGUAACCAGACCAGGAAUCUUGAGGACUGAUGGAGAAGCCGUACAUCUGGAAGGCAAAUCCUGAGGACAACCAGGACUCUACCAUCAAGGAUUCCUCAUAAGUUUGCAUUAUCUGGACAUAGUGGACUAGACACACCUGAGCUGAACCUCACCAGAUCCUGUUUGGUCGGGGGCAGACACACCUGAGCUGAACCCACCCUGAUCCUGACAUCCUGCUGGUCCCGUCUCCUCAGUUCAUCUGAGCCUCGUCCUCCAGAAGACCUGCUGAGCUCAGUGGUCUGAGGCUGAUGAAUCAAUGACCUCCAGUGGGAGUGAUCUUCUUGACCCCACAUGUACCUGUGUGCUUCCACACGCCUUUCCUUCACGUCUGUCACUAACCUCACUACUUCACUACUCUCUACUCCUUCCCCUUCUUCCUUCUCCGUGGUUCGAACCUUUACACUGAACGCGCGUCUUCCUGCCCUCAGAGGGUUCAGCGUUAGGGUUGAGAGUCAGGGUUUAGAGUCAGGGACAGAGCUGGUCAGGGAGGACUGCUUUUACACAAACCUCUUCACUUGCAUUCGGAAUGGUGGUGACAUUUUGAUAAGAUUAAUUUGGGAAAAUGUUUUCCUCUGCUUUCCUUUACAAAAUUGUGUUAAACUUCUGUCAAGGGUUUUUGUUUAUAUAUUAAAAUCCCACAUUGACUUCUACAUGUUUGGUGCGGUUCAUUUAAUUGUCCUUUAACUUGGUUAAUGUCAAGCUAAAC